rnacentral:tRNA from 1 species
GCAUUGGUGGUUCACAGGUAGAAUUCUUGCUUGCCACGCGGGAGACCCGAGUACGAUUCCCAGCCAACGCA